rnacentral:rRNA from 1 species
GUGGGGAAUUUUGGACAAUGGGCGCAAGCCUGAUCCAGCAAUGCCGCGUGCAGGAAGAAGGCCUUCGGGUUGUAAACUGCUUUUGUACGGAACGAAACGGUUCUCUCUAAUACAGGGGGCUAAUGACGGUACCGUAAGAAUAAGCACCGGCUAACUACGUGCCAGCAGCCGCGGUAAUACGUAGGGUGCGAGCGUUAAUCGGAAUUACUGGGCGUAAAGCGUGCGCAGGCGGUGCUGUAAGACAGGCGUGAAAUCCCCGGGCUCAACCUGGGAAUUGCGCUUGUGACUGCAGCGCUGGAGUGCGGCAGAGGGGGAUGGAAUUCCGCGUGUAGCAGUGAAAUGCGUAGAUAUGCGGAGGAACACCGAUGGCGAAGGCAAUCCCCUGGGCCUGCACUGACGCUCAUGCACGAAAGCGUGGGGAGCAAACAGGAUUAGAUACCCCUGUAGUCC